UCCAAACAAUCCUUGCGAGUAACCUAUCAAUUUAAAGUAGAAGUCGAAGUUCCGGAAAUUAUCAUCUGACACCGGAAGAGUAAGGAUCUCAUCAUUGCAUAAUUUGUUUUGUUGUUUAUCUUUAAUAAUUGAAAAGUUUCGGCUAUUUUUAUAACCUACAAAAAAGAGAUCAGAAGGCUGCUGCUGUUGGAUGUUGCUGUAAUCGGAGAUGAAUGAUGAGGAUCGGAUGAUGGAUUUCAAUUGUUUGAGGUGAGCCAAACCAAUGAUUUUGGGGGAAGCCUUUUUAAUAUUUCAAUCUCUAUAUCCAAUCCCGAUUGUAUCUCCUCAUAUUCUACUUCUGCUGACAUCAUCAUCGUAAAUAUUUAUUGUUUUCAAAGACAGGCAAAGGGGGCGUGUUUCGAACUGUUAUUAGGGUUUUGAGUUAAUGAUGGAACGGAACAUAAGGCUUUCAUUGCCAUGCAUGUGGGAAAAGGGUAAGAGAUGGUACAGGAGAAAAGCAUUGCACUGGACAAUACUUUGAUUAUUGGCAUUUAAUCGACCGAGCUGUUGCACCUAAGCUGUUCGACAAACUCAAGUGAAAAGAGAGGUGUUCGACAAAUUCAAGUGGAUAAGUAUCAUUUCAUUUGGUA